AUUGAACGCUGGCGGCAGGCCUAACACAUGCAAGUCGAACGGUAGCACAGAGAGCUUGCUCUCGGGUGACGAGUGGCGGACGGGUGAGUAAUGUCUGGGAAACUGCCCGAUGGAGGGGGAUAACUACUGGAAACGGUAGCUAAUACCGCAUAACGCCGCAAGACCAAAGUGGGGGACCUUCGGGCCUCACACCAUCGGAUGUGCCCAGAUGGGAUUAGCUAGUAGGUGGGGUAAUGGCUCACCUAGGCGACGAUCCCUAGCUGGUCUGAGAGGAUGACCAGCCACACUGGAACUGAGACACGGUCCAGACUCCUACGGGGGGCAGCAGUGGGGAAUAUUGCACAAUGGGCGCAAGCCUGAUGCAGCCAUGCCGCGUGUAGGAAGAAGGCCUUCGGGUUGUAAAGUACUUUCAGCGGGGAGGAAGGCGGUGAAGUUAAUAACUUCACCGAUUGACGUUACCCGCAGAAGAAGCACCGGCUAACUCCGUGCCAGCAGCCGCAGUAA
rnacentral:rRNA from 1 species